rnacentral:rRNA from 1 species
GAUGAACGCUAGCGGCAGGCUUAACACAUGCAAGUCGAGGGGUAUUGGUUUUCGGACCAAGAGACCGGCGCACGGGUGCGUAACGCGUAUGCAAUCUACCUUUUGCAGAGGGAUAGCCCCAGAGAAAUUUGGAUUAAUACCUCAUAGUAUAGUACUUUGGCAUCAAGGAACUAUUAAAGUCACAACGGCAAAAGAUGAGCAUGCGUCCAUUAGCUAGUUGGUAAGGUAACGGCUUACCAAGGCUACGAUGGGUAGGGGUUCUGAGAGGGAGAUCCCCCACACUGGUACUGAGACACGGACCAGACUCCUACGGGAGGCAGCAGUGAGGAAUAUUGGACAAUGGGCGCAAGCCUGAUCCAGCCAUGCCGCGUGCAGGAUGACGGUCCUAUGGAUUGUAAACUGCUUUUAUACAGGAAGAAACACUACUUCGUGAGGGAGCUUGACGGUACUGUAAGAAUAAGGAUCGGCUAACUCCGUGCCAGCAGCCGCGGU